rnacentral:rRNA from 1 species
GACGAACGCUGGCGGCGUGCCUAAUACAUGCAAGUAGAACGAACAGACGAUACGGUUGCUUGCUACACGAUAACCGCGGAGGGGCGAGUGACACGUUGACACCCAGCUUAUCUGACUGGGAUCACUUCGUAACUACGGGACACAAACCGUAAAAUCUCUUGAUAUUAAUUAUUCCAUGGUAAAAGACGGAUUUACGGACUCGUAUAACUAGCUCCGCGCCGUAUUAGCUAUUAGGUAAGGUAACGGCUUACCGAGGCCACGAUCCGUAGCCGACCUGAGAGGGUGAUCGGCCACACUGGAACUGAGACACGGCCCAGACUCCUACGGGAGGCAGCAGUAGGGAAUCUUCGGCAAUGGGCGAAAGUCUGACGGAGCAACGCCGCGUGAGUGAUGAAGGUUUUCGGAUCGUAAAGCUCUGUUGUUAGGGAAGAACAAAUGUGUAAGUGGAUAGGCAAGUCUGGACGGUAACUAAACAGAAAGCCAAGGCUAACUACGUG